AGGGUACCACCAGGAGUGGAGCCUGCGGCUUAAUUUGACUCAACACGGGAAAACUCACCCGGCCCGGACACCGUAAGGAUUGACAGACUGAGAGCUCUUUCUUAAUUCGGUGGGUGGUGGUGCAUGGCCGUUCUUAGUUGGUGGAGCGAUUUGUCUGGUUAAUUCCGAUAACGAACGAGACUCUGGCCUAUUAAAUAGACGAUAUAUCUAUCUAGUAUAUCGCGCUUCUUAGAGGGACAAGCGGCGUCCAGCCGCAUGAAAUAGAGCAAUAACAGGUCUGUGAUGCCCUUAGAUGUCCGGGGCUGCACGCGCGCUACACUGAAAGAAUCAGCGUGCGUUUUACCUAGUUCGGAAGAACCGGGUAACCCAAGUAAAUUCUUUCGUGCUUGGGAUAGGGAAUUGCAAUUAUUUCCCUUGAACGAGGAAUUCCCAGUAAAUGCGGGUCAUAAGCUCGCGUUGAUUACGUCCCUGCCCUUUGUACACACCGCCCGUCGCUACUACCGAUUGGAUGACUUAGUG
rnacentral:rRNA from 1 species